UAAAAGUUUUGCCAUUUAAAUGAUAGUUAUUUCCAUCCUCAAGAUGGUACACAGAAUACCGAAAUAUGUCGUUGUUAUACUGUCGUUGGCUUUUUUAUUACAAAACUAUAUGCCGCAAUGUGUUUACCUUACAGACAUGCUAAGAUCUCUCCAUUAUUUUGGCGAAGCAUGGUUGUUAGUUCUUUUACGUUUGAACAAUGUUGGUGUUCAACAAUGCUUUUUUAUGUUAUUCACACAAAUCCAUAGCAUGUCGUACUACUUUGGACAGCCUUUUUAGGAGAUCGCUAAGGAGUAUCUAACGAACACUAACAUGAAUCUUCAUAAAAAAGAAAUUAAAUUAAAAACCAAAUAUCAUCAAGUAAAUAUAUGUCUGUACGUUAUUUGUUUUUCAUAAUAAAGCAUAUUUAUAUUAA